GGCUCUGAAGGAAGGACAGCGAGGGUCAAGGUGACCAGUGAGGCCUGGACAACUAGGAUGCCAACCUGAGGGAGCCACCCCCAUCCUGGGCUAAGUUUGACAUCUGAUGGAAGAGCCUCCAGCUCCAGCCAGCUGUCAGGACUUGAGAUCAGACUUUCUCCCCCUCUUCCAGCCCCAGUGCCCCACUUUCCUGGGGAUACUCUGUGUGCAGCUCCAAGGAACCUGGUUACAGUACAGAUCACAGACAUGCAAGAGAUGCUGCCCAGGAGCCAGGCACUGGCCUCCAGAGGACCCCACCCCACUUGGGAAGCAGGUUCUGCGUGACAGCUUUUCCUCCUGGACCUGAGUUCUGUGGAGUCUACCACCCUUCUCCACCCAAAGCCUGUAUUUUCAGCAGUAGAGCGGGAGCGUGUGGAUGUGGAAGCCAGGCUGCCUGUGUUUGAAUUACAGCUGAGCUCUGCUGUUUAGCUAAACCUGUUAGCUCAUCUAUAAUACGGAAAUGAUGUGAAAGUUG